GAAAUUGGCCUCCAGAAGCAUUGGCUUCACAAGUCAAACAGAAGCUAAGGUGAGUAACCAUCACAUACACAACUGAGGGCUGACACAGGGCAGAGGUAUUCGAUUUGCAAAUUAACCCAUUUUAAUCCCAUCCUAAAUGAGGGAGAUAGACAUGCUAUCCUCAGGGAGGGAUCAUGCACGCAGGACGUCAGAAGGCAGUCCCAAAUGUCCUCUUUUGCUUUGGUAACAGUCUCCGCAGAUCUAAGUGAUUUUUUUUGGUGAGAAUAGUUCCAUGAGUUCAGUGAGAUGGCAUUACUAUUGACAUUUUCAGUAGGCAGAAUUGUGACCAAAUCUGUUUCUGAUACCUUUCAGACUGGUUCCUACCAAACACCAGGAAAUUCAGGAAUUGGAGAGUGACCCUAACAGGCAAUGAGGUUCCCAGCUGGAUGAUGCAUCAAGAGGAUAACUUUGAAUCGACCUUCAAUGGAAGCCUUUGACUUAACAGAAUACUGUCCGGGCCUUGAAUUAUGAGCGAAUAAACCAGAAACACCUGUGUGAGCAGGCAUUCCUUCGUGUCUGUCAUUCCUCUCCUGACACGUCUCACUCUGGCCAAAUACGGUAAACCAAGAACUUCUAUUAGUCUUCUGCAUCACUGUCAUACCUUUAUGCUUUGGGUUCCUUCUGAGAAGGUAAGGUCAGGUACAAUGCAAAGUUCACCGCCAUCUGUUCUUCAAGCCAAGAACUUUCCAGCCUUCCCUUCCCUUCUUGCUGCUCAGACUGGCUGGUGGGAAACUCCCUUUUCAGCCCAUUUUGGAUGACCCAUGAGAAAGAGGAGGUCAGUCUUCACCAUUCUUCUGGCUAAGAGGAUAGAGCUCAAACGUCCUUCCAAAGUUAGAGUCAAGUCUCAUAGUUGUGUUUUCUCCUGGGCAGCAGAGAAAGACGAAGUCUUCUGUGAGUACCUCUAUCACUCUGGUGCUUCGAUACUGAAGCUCAUCACUUGCUGGCUUCCUCUGCUCCUCUGUGCGGAGUGCAGUCUCUCUUCUGCUUUUUGCGUUUGGCACUAUGAAGGAUUAGCAACGGAGUCCCUCAAUUUCAGAUCCUUUUAGGACUGGAGUUGGAGGACAAUGAGUUGGACCCUAAAGAGAAAAACCAGCACGAUCCGGCCUCUAUCUGCCCAUCGCGGAAUCUCCACCUUGCCCGGAGCGGGAAGGGCCACGGAGGAGUCCGCUUCAACACGCAAGACUACCUCGCUUUAAUACAAGGUGAAAUGCAA
rnacentral:lncRNA from 12 species